GGGUUGUGAGGUUAAGCGACUAAGCGUACACGGUGGAUGCCCUGGCAGUCAGAGGCGAUGAAGGACGUGCUAAUCUGCGAAAAGCGCCGGCGAGGUGAUAUGAACCUUUGACCCGGCGAUGUCCGAAUGGGGAAACCCAGUGUGUUCCGACACACUAUCGUUAACUGAAUACAUAGGUUAACGAGGCGAACCGGGGGAACUGAAACAUCUAAGUACCCCGAGGAAAAGAAAUCAACCGAGAUUCCCCCAGUAGCGGCGAGCGAACGGGGAGCAGCCCAGAGUCUGAAUCAGCUUGUGUGUUAGUGGAAGCGUCUGGAAAGUCGCACGGUACAGGGUGACAGUCCCGUACACGAAAGCACACUUGCUGUGAACUCGAAGAGUAGGGCGGGACACGUGGUAUCCUGUCUGAAUAUGGGGGGACCAUCCUCCAAGGCUAAAUACUCCUGACUGACCGAUAGUGAACCAGUACCGUGAGGGAAAGGCGAAAAGAACCCCGGCGAGGGGAGUGAAAAAGAACCUGAAACCGUGUACGUACAAGCAGUGGGAGCACCUUCGUGGUGUGACUGCGUACCUUUUGUAUAAUGGGUCAGCGACUUAUAUUCUGUAGCAAGGUUAACCGUAUAGGGGAGCCGAAGGGAAACCGAGUCUUAACUGGGCGUUAAGUUGCAGGGUAUAGACCCGAAACCCGGUGAUCUAGCCAUGGGCAGGUUGAAGGUUGGGUAACACUAACUGGAGGACCGAACCGACUAAUGUUGAAAAAUUAGCGGAUGACUUGUGGCUGGGGGUGAAAGGCCAAUCAAACCGGGAGAUAGCUGGUUCUCCCCGAAAGCUAUUUAGGUAGCGCCUCGUGAACUCAUCUUCGGGGGUAGAGCACUGUUUCGGCUAGGGGGCCAUCCCGGCUUACCAACCCGAUGCAAACUACGAAUACCGAAGAAUGUUAUCACGGGAGACACACGGCGGGUGCUAACGUCCGUCGUGAAGAGGGAAACAACCCAGACCGCCAGCUAAGGUCCCAAAGUCAUGGUUAAGUGGGAAACGAUGUGGGAAGGCACAGACAGCCAGGAUGUUGGCUUAGAAGCAGCCAUCAUUUAAAGAAAGCGUAAUAGCUCACUGGUCGAGUCGGCCUGCGCGGAAGAUGUAACGGGGCUAAACCAUGCACCGAAGCUGCGGCAGCGACGCUUAUGCGUUGUUGGGUAGGGGAGCGUUCUGUAAGCCGUUGAAGGUGUCCUGUGAGGGAUGCUGGAGGUAUCAGAAGUGCGAAUGCUGACAUAAGUAACGAUAAAGCGGGUGAAAAGCCCGCUCGCCGGAAGACCAAGGGUUCCUGUCCAACGUUAAUCGGGGCAGGGUGAGUCGACCCCUAAGGCGAGGCCGAAAGGCGUAGUCGAUGGGAAACAGGUUAAUAUUCCUGUACUUGGUGUUACUGCGAAGGGGGGACGGAGAAGGCUAUGUUAGCCGGGCGACGGUUGUCCCGGUUUAAGCAUGUAGGCGGAACGAUUAGGUAAAUCCGGUCGUUUAUUAACGCUGAGGUGUGAUGACGAGGCACUACGGUGCUGAAGUAACAAAUGCCCUGCUUCCAGGAAAAGCCUCUAAGCAUCAGGUAACAUCAAAUCGUACCCCAAACCGACACAGGUGGUCAGGUAGAGAAUACCAAGGCGCUUGAGAGAACUCGGGUGAAGGAACUAGGCAAAAUGGUGCCGUAACUUCGGGAGAAGGCACGCUGAUAUGUAGGUGAAGCCCCUGCGGGUGGAGCUGAAAUCAGUCGAAGAUACCAGCUGGCUGCAACUGUUUAUUAAAAACACAGCACUGUGCAAACACGAAAGUGGACGUAUACGGUGUGACGCCUGCCCGGUGCCGGAAGGUUAAUUGAUGGGGUUAGCGGCAACGCGAAGCUCUUGAUCGAAGCCCCGGUAAACGGCGGCCGUAACUAUAACGGUCCUAAGGUAGCGAAAUUCCUUGUCGGGUAAGUUCCGACCUGCACGAAUGGCGUAAUGAUGGCCAGGCUGUCUCCACCCGAGACUCAGUGAAAUUGAACUCGCUGUGAAGAUGCAGUGUACCCGCGGCAAGACGGAAAGACCCCGUGAACCUUUACUAUAGCUUGACACUGAACACUGGUCCUUGAUGUGUAGGAUAGGUGGGAGGCUUUGAAGCGUGGACGCCAGUCUGCGUGGAGCCGCCCUUGAAAUACCACCCUUUAAUGGCUGGUGUUCUAACGUAGACCCGUAAUCCGGGUUGCGGACAGUGUCUGGUGGGUAGUUUGACUGGGGCGGUCUCCUCCCAAAGAGUAACGGAGGAGCACGAAGGUUAGCUAAUCCUGGUCGGACAUCAGGAGGUUAGUGCAAUGGCAUAAGCUAGCUUGACUGCGAGAGUGACGGCUCGAGCAGGUGCGAAAGCAGGUCAUAGUGAUCCGGUGGUUCUGAAUGGAAGGGCCAUCGCUCAACGGAUAAAAGGUACUCCGGGGAUAACAGGCUGAUACCGCCCAAGAGUUCAUAUCGACGGCGGUGUUUGGCACCUCGAUGUCGGCUCAUCACAUCCUGGGGCUGAAGUAGGUCCCAAGGGUAUGGCUGUUCGCCAUUUAAAGUGGUACGCGAGCUGGGUUUAGAACGUCGUGAGACAGUUCGGUCCCUAUCUGCCGUGGGCGCUGGAGAAUUGAGGGGGGCUGCUCCUAGUACGAGAGGACCGGAGUGGACGCAUCACUGGUGUUCGGGUUGUCAUGCCAAUGGCACUGCCCGGUAGCUAAAUGCGGAAAAGAUAAGUGCUGAAAGCAUCUAAGCACGAAACUUGCCCCGAGAUGAGUUCUCCCUGACUCCUUGAGAGUCCUGAAGGAACGUUGAAGACUACGACGUUGAUAGGUCGGGUGUGUAAGCGCAGCGAUGCGUUGAGCUAACCGAUACUAAUGAACCGUGAGGCUUAACCUUACAACGCCGAAGCUGUU
rnacentral:rRNA from 1 species